rnacentral:rRNA from 1 species
CAGAAAAGCCUCUAAGCUUCAGUUUAACAGGACCGUACCGCAAACCGACACAGGUGGGCGAGACGAGUAUUCUAAGGCGCUUGAGAGAACUCGGGAGAAGGAACUCGGCAAAUUGGUACCGUAACUUCGGGAUAAGGUACGCCCCUGUAGCCUGACUGGCCUGCGCCAGAAGGGUGAAGGGGUUGCAAUAAACUGGUGGCUGCGACUGUUUAAUAAAAACACAGCACUCUGCAAACACGAAAGUGGACGUAUAGGGUGUGACGCCUGCCCGGUGCCGGAAGAUUAAAUGAUGGGGUGCAAGCUCUUGAUUGAAGUCCCGGUAAACGGCGGCCGUAACAAUAACGGUCCUAAGGUAGCGAAAUUCCUUGUCGGGUAAGUUCCGACCUGCACGAAUGGCGUAACGAUGGCCACACUGUCUCCUCCCGAGACUCAGCGAAGUUGAAGUGUUUGUGAUGAUGCAAUCUCCCCGCGGCUAGACGGAAAGACCCCAUGAACCUUUACUGUAGCUUUGCAUUGGACUUUGAACCGGUCUGUGUAGGAUAGGUGGGAGGCUUUGAAGCGUGGACGCCAGUCUGCGUGGAGCCACCCUUGUAAUACCACCCUGGUUUGUUUGAGGUUCUAACCUUGGUCCGUAAUCCGGAUCGGGGACAGUGCAUGGUAGGCAGUUUGACUGGGGCGGUCUCCUCCCAAAGUGUAACGGAGGAGUACGAAGGUACGCUAGGUACGGUCGGAAAUCGUGCUGAUAGUGCAAUGGCAUAAGCGUGCUUAACUGCGAGACCGACAAGUCGAGCAGGUGCGAAAGCAGGUCAUAGUGAUCCGGUGGUUCUGUAUGGAAGGGCCAUCGCUCAACGGAUAAAAGGUACUCUGGGGAUAACAGGCUGAUACCGCCCAAGAGUUCAUAUCGACGGCGGUGUUUGGCACCUCGAUGUCGGCUCAUCUCAUCCUGGGGCUGUAGCCGGUCCCAAGGGUAUGGCUGUUCGCCAUUUAAAGAGGUACGUGAGCUGGGUUUAAAACGUCGUGAGACAGUUUGGUCCCUAUCUGCCGUGGGCGCUGGAUAUUUGAAGGGGGCUGCUCCUAGUACGAGAGGACCGGAGUGGACGAACCUCUGGUGUACCGGUUGUCACGCCAGUGGCAUCGCCGGGUAGCUAUGUUCGGAAGAGAUAACCGUUGAAAGCAUCUAAGCGGGAAACUCGCCUUAAGAUGAGAUAUCCCCGGGGCUUCGAGCCCCUUGAAGGGUCGUUCGAGACCAGGACGUUGAUAGGUCAGGUGUGGAAGCGCAGUAAUGCGUUAAGCUAACUGAUACUAAUUGCCCGUAAGGCUUGACU